ACGGAGGAUCCAAGCGUUAUCCGGAAUUAUUGGGUUUAAAGGGUCCGCAGGCUGUUUGUUAAGUUAGAGGUGAAAUCCUACCGCUCAACGGUAGAACUGCCUUUAAAACUGGCAAACUUGAGUUAUUGUGAAGUAAUUAGAAUGUGUAGUGUAGCGGUGAAAUGCAUAGAUAUUACACAGAAUACCGAUUGCGAAAGCAGAUUACUAACAAUUAACUGACGCUGAGGGACGAAAGCGUGGGUAGCGAACAGG
rnacentral:rRNA from 1 species